CUUCUUUUCGUCGUCGGUGGCGAUGGUAAGGACCGCGGGUUCCCAAAAGUGGGUUCGGUAGGUGGAAAAUUCGUUGUAAUGGAGGUAGAGGUGGAGGUAGGUAGCGAAUGGCCACGGAGGUGGUGGAGGAGGUUCAGAGAGAAAGAGAAAGAGGAUCGCAGCGUAGCCUCGGCAAGGUCAGAGGCGAGGAGAGCGGGGGGUGAGCGGGCGUGGGUGAGGGCGCAUAGGGCGGAGGCAGUGAGGGGUGU
rnacentral:lncRNA from 1 species